CGGGAGAAGGCACGCCGGCGUAGGGUGAUGAGACUUGCUCUCUAAGCCCGAACCGGUCGAAGAUACCAGGUGGCUGCAACUGUUUAUUAAAAACACAGCACUCUGCUAACGCGCAAGCGGACGUAUAGGGUGUGACGCCUGCCCGGUGCCGGAAGGUUAAAUGAUGGUGUUAGCCGCAAGGCGAAGCUCUUGAUUGAAGCCCCGGUAAACGGCGGCCGUAACUAUAACGGUCCUAAGGUAGCGAAAUUCCUUGUCGGGUAAGUUCCGACCUGCACGAAUGGCGUAAUGAUGGCCACGCUGUCUCCACCCGAGACUCAGUGAAAUUGAAAUCGCCGUGAAGAUGCGGUGUACCCGCGGCUAGACGGAAAGACCCCGUGAACCUUUACUAUAGCUUCACACUGGACGCUGAUGUUGCCUGUGUAGGAUAGCUGGGAGGCUUUGAACUUUGGACGCCAGUUCGAAGGGAGCCAACCUUGAAAUACCAGCCUGGCAUCAUUGGCGUUCUCACUCAGGUCCGUUAUCCGGAUCGAGGACAGUGUGUGGUGGGUAGUUUGACUGGGGCGGUCUCCUCCUAAAGAGUAACGGAGGAGCACGAAGGUACCCUCAGCACGGUCGGACAUCGUGCAGUGAGUGCAAGAGCAUAAGGGUGCUUGACUGCGAGACAGACACGUCGAGCAGGUGCGAAAGCAGGUUCUAGUGAUCCGGUGGUUCUGUAUGGAAGGGCCAUCGCUCAACGGAUAAAAGGUACUCCGGGGAUAACAGGCUGAUACCGCCCAAGAGUUCACAUCGACGGCGGUGUUUGGCACCUCGAUGUCGGCUCAUCACAUCCUGGGGCUGAAGUCGGUCCCAAGGGUAUGGCUGUUCGCCAUUUAAAGUGGUACGCGAGCUGGGUUUAGAACGUCGUGAGACAGUUCGGUCCCUAUCUGCCGUGGGCGUUGGAUGUUUGAGAAGGGCUGCUCCUAGUACGAGAGGACCGGAGUGGACGACCCUCUGGUGUUCCGGUUGUCACGCCAGUGGCAUUGCCGGGUAGCUAUGGUCGGACGGGAUAACCGCUGAAAGCAUCUAAGCGGGAAGCCCCCUUCAAGAUGAGACAUCCCUGAGGCCUAGAGCCUCCUGAAGGGCCCAGCGAGACCAGCUGGUUGAUAGGCACGGUGUGGAAGCGCUGCAAGGUGUUGAGCUAACGUGUACUAAUGGCCCGUGAGGCUUGACCCU
rnacentral:rRNA from 1 species